AAAUCAUUAUAUAGAGAUCAAUAUUUACAUGCGUUAUUCUAUUUAAGAAAUUACUAAUAUAAUUGAACAUUUUAAAGAAAAAAUCUUAUUCUCGUUUAUCAACUAUUAUAGUCGAGCUCCAUUAGCCGUGGAAGACGAUGAAUAAUCACGUGCAUUAUGCUGUCAAUAAAUAUCGACAUGUUUUAAAAUAUCAUUUUAACGAGCAAACAAGUGCGAUUUAUCGAUUAUGAUCUUAGAAAAACGAUAACACUUUCAACUUUACUAAUAAACGAGCAGAAAUAAAAUGAUAUCGACAAUAUGUGACAUAUGUUUCAUAUCUGCAGUAAUGCAAAGGGUGCAACUUUCAGAACGUUUGCACGCAUACGUGGAAGGUGUGCAUAAAGCCAUGUACCUUGAUGCUUCUGUUGAGGGCGUGGCAUGAUUAAUUAUGAAACAUGCAUAAUGCAUGGAAUGUAUGGUUCAGUAUUUGAAUCCAUGCUUCUUCGAUUUUGAACUUGUUGCAUUCUUAAAAAUAACAUUGUAUCUACAUUUGUUA